rnacentral:rRNA from 1 species
CUACGUGCCAGCAGCCGCGGUAAUACGUAGGGCGCGAGCGUUGUCCGGAAUUAUUGGGCGUAAAGAGCUUGUAGGCGGUUUGUCGCGUCUGCUGUGAAAGGCCGGGGCUUAACCCCGUGUAUUGCAGUGGGUACGGGCAGACUAGAGUGCAGUAGGGGAGACUGGAAUUCCUGGUGUAGCGGUGGAAUGCGCAGAUAUCAGGAGGAACACCGAUGGCGAAGGCAGGUCUCUGGGCUGUAACUGACGCUGAGAAGCGAAAGCAUGGGGAGCGAACAGGAUUAGAUACCCUGGUAGUCCAUGCCGUAAACGUUGGGCACUAGGUGUGGGGGACAUUCCACGUUUUCCGCGCCGUAGCUAACGCAUUAAGUGCCCCGCCUGGGGAGUACGACCGCAAGGCUAAAACUCAAAGAAAUUGACGGGGGCCCGCACAAGCGGCGGAGCAUGCGGAUUAAUUCGAUGCAACGCGAAGAACCUUACCAAGGCUU